rnacentral:rRNA from 1 species
UACAGAGGUCUCAAGCGUUGCUCGGAAUCACUGGGCGUAAAGGGUGCGUAGGCGGGUUUUUAAGUCAGGGGUGAAAUCCUGGAGCUCAACUCCAGAACUGCCUUUGAUACUGAAGAUCUCGAGUCCGGGAGAGGUGAGUGGAACUGCGAGUGUAGAGGUGAAAUUCGUAGAUAUUCGCAAGAACACCAGUGGCGAAGGCGGCUCACUGGCCCGGUACUGACGCUGAGGUGCGAAAGCGUGGGGAGCAAACAGG